AUCUUUUUGUAGUUCAUAAGCAUGAUGAUUGCAUAGUCACACUCUUGUGUGAGAUAUGCCUCCCUCAACCUUGUUAUAACAUUGGGCCAUUACCUGACUGAUG